AAAUCUUAUGUUUUGGAACAGCAUGGAUGGAGCUGAAAAAAAAAGCACAUUGUGACAGAUGCUACAACCUGGAUGCACCCUGAAGACAUGAUGCUCAGAGAAAUAAGCCAGUCACAGAAAGACAAAUACUGUGUGAUCCAUCUCACAUGAGGUCCCUGGAGCCGCCAGAGUCAUAGACAGAGGAACGCUGGGCCAGGGUGCUGUAGACAGAGCAGAUUCACUUCUCGGUGUCUUGGUUGGUUCCUGGGCACAGUGCCAGGGAGUGACGCUGCCCCAGUAUAAGAAUGAAGGAAGGCAACAUUGUCAUUGGAAGAAGUGCCUUUUAAUCAACUACUGAUCGCAACUGCAGAAAUGAACUUAUGCACUGUUAAAGGUCAGGAAGAAUAAAUGAUUUUUCUCUGUGUACCCGGCAGUGUGGUGCUCAAAUUAAGGUAAAAAUAAUGCUGUGUCUUCAUAUGCUCUCUCCUUCCAGAGAUGGCUCCAAUUUAACCGUCAACUUGACUGGGUGAUGGAAAAAGUAAUGCUGAACAGAACACAUCAAUUUGGAGCCACAGGAUGGAGCAAGUCAAUGACCAGCUGUCCACCCAAUGAUGACAACAGGGUUUCAGGACAGAAUAGUAACUGCGGACUCCAGAGAGAAACAGCAGUGGGCUAACUUGGGAUAGAAGUGAGAACCUGAUGAGUGACCAGCACGGUGUUUCCCCUGAAAACCAUCCUGUUAUAUGAAGCUUCAAUACAGCUCAUGGGGGGAGAGGAGUCUAAGGUUCCGAGAGUAC